UUUUACCUGGAAAGCUAGUGGAGUCUGACGUGCAUCCACGUGAACUUCACAGGGCAGAGAGGCCAGCAGCCGCGGGGAGAACAGUGGACGGAAGCGCGGACAUCCGGCUGCUGUGACCACACGGAGCCGCGUUGGUCGCUGUUUCCGCCCCGUCUGUGCACCAGGCCCAGCGCAUCCCUGGCGUGUCCUGCCCGAGGGACAGGCAUGGGGCGGGGGCGGGGGCACCGCCUUGCUUCUCGGGAGAGGAGUCGGGCCCACCAUUUCCUGCCUUAGCCCCCCGAGCUGUCAUCUCGCUUCUCUCCGAGCCAAAAGCAGCAGGAUCAGAGAUGCCAGAGGUGGGAAGACUGUUUCAGAAGUCGCCCAUGGUGAGCGGUUCAGACACGCCAGAUGCGGGGAAGGGAGACUGCAGGGGCCACGGAGGACAGAGCCCGCCGCACGUCUGGAGAGCUUCUCUGUGGGCAGGAGCUUCCCGCUCACUGUCCGCUGGAUUUGUUUCCCAACAGCGUUGGCUGGUGUCCGUCUUACAGAUGAGGACGCUGAGGACGUUUCUCAUGACUUCAUGUCACCCCGCCGGGACGUGGGGCUGACGGCGGAGGGUCUCUGAGCCGCGUUAGAGCCGCGAUGGCAUCCCGUGCGCGCUUUGUCAUCAGCUACGCAGAUGCGCUCACAGUGCUGUUUGCAGGCACGUGGGGCUUGGGGUGUCCAUGGGCCGGGUGCAACCUGGCCAUCCUGACUUCUCAUUCAUGGGUCACACUCAGCCCCCCAUCUCCAAUCAGCUUAGCGAGAAUAGAUCUUCUGCCUAAAAGAGAGAAGGAAGCCGCCUUGAAAGACAGGGGUCAAUUGCGAAUUGCUUUCUUCGUUUGCCUGCUGAUGAUAAAAGAAGGUAUAGCCUCCUGAUUUAAAGAGAUACUAAUUUGGGCUUCACAAAAGAAUAGCCGAAGAGCACAAGCUUCUCAAACACACAGCUCUGGCCUUCCGGCCAGAAUGAUUUAUCUCAAAGUUGUGCGAUGUGAGCUGGGGGAGGGCUCGUACCCGUGGAAAGGCUGGCAGCGACAGCAUCGCCUGAAUCCUGCCUCUCCCGUUGCGCACAUCACGGUCACCACGCUUCCGCACUUGCCCCGAGCUGCGAGAGCAGCUCAUCCCAGCCCCGACUUAAAGGUCUCCACAGAAACCUCGCUGGGGACUCGGAGGCCACCAUCUCGUCACAUCCGGGUUUUCCUUCCACGACAGCUGUUGGCUCUGCUCGCUGUAUUCUUGCACGGCCCCUCCAGGCCCCUUGAAAUGGAAUCGUAGGAGGAGAGCUCAACUUCCCGGGGCCUGGGACCUGCGUGAGGUGCUCACUUAUCAGAGCUCAGGCGGCAGGGCCUCCCCGACCAGGAAACGGGGCUCCCCCAGUGCUGCCGGAGGGGCCAUGCCCUCUGACGCUUGUGGGGACGGAAAUGUAAUGAGGGGAGCCCCCUGGGCUUCCCUGAAGGCUCAGCCAUAAAGAAUCUGCCUGCAAUGCAGGAGGUGCCGGAGAUGAUGGUUCAAUCCCUGGGUCAGGAAGACCCCCUGGAGAAGGAAGUGGUACCCCACUCGAGUAUUCUUGCCUGGGAAAUCCCAUACAGAUAGGAGCCUGGUGGGCUACAGUCCAUGGGGUCACAAGAGUCAGACACAACUUAGCCACCAAGGACUCGUUAUCCCAGGAAACCUUCACACAUCAGGGAGAUGCAGCUUCAUGUUCAAUUAAAACAAAAAUUGUCCAAACUGUGUUUUGUGACUUCAUGGGUACAGAGAUGAAUAGAUUGACACUAUAUUUGAAAAUAUUUUCUUCAGUCUGCACUGAAUUUUUAUCUUCUGAUUUUAAAAGUGUUGUGGCCCCGUAUCUUCCCUUUUGUUUAAUGUUGGAGCAUAGUCACUAACAACGUGGUGUUGGUCUCAGGAGCGCAGUGGAGUGAUUCAUGUAGCUGUAUCUGUUCCGCCCCCACGCCCUCUGUCGCCUCUGUCUGGGAAUGAGGCUCUGGCCGGCCAGGCCCCUGGGAAGACGUGGCCACUGAGAAAAUGGGCAACGAGCAAGUGACUUUUAAUAACGUGUCCAUUCCCCAUAAUGUCAGAAGAGGAGUUCUGACACGCUAAAUCUCUCUGUCUGCCAAUAGGAUUGAUGGUGUACUUGCCAAGAAAAUUUCCCCACGUUUAAAAUAGAAAUGGUUGGAGAUGAGUUAUAUGGUGCCAUCUGGGUAUUUAACAACACGGAAUGACUUCUCUUCUUUCCUGACCCAAAAAAAUGCAUCACAGUGGGAGAAACAGACUGCCCAAUUAUCUACUGGGUUCCCAAAACUGGGUCAUGUUGGAGGAAAAGAGUGUGAGGCUGAGGCCCACCUGGCAUUCUAAGUAGUACAUUUCCUUGGAUGAAGCCCAAAGUGAACCAGACUCCUCUUGCACCGUGUUAGCGUGGUUCAUGUGACAGUUUGUACAGUGGGGACUUGGACCCCAGGAUCCUGACCUCUAGUCCCCUCAUUACUGCUCAGUGACCUUGGGCAAACCUUCACCCGCAAACCUCAGCUUCUUAGAGACCUGUGAGUUUGUGACGGUCCUGGUUCCUGUGCUGCAGUGCUGUGAUGCUCACCUGAGAUAAGGCGUGAGCAAUCCAUUGUGAGGAAUACAGUAUGUUGUUCAGUCGCUUAGUCACAUCUGACUCUUUGUGACCCCAUGGACUGCAGCAUGCCAGGUUUCCCUGUCCUUCAAUAUCUCCUGGAACUUGCUCAGACUCACGUCCAUUGCAUCAGUGAUGCCAUCCAACCAUCUUUUCCUCUGUCGUCCCCUUCUCCUUCAAUCUUCCCCAGCAUCAGGGUCUUUUCCAAUGAGUUACUUCUUCACAUCAGAUGGCCAAAGUAUUGGAGCUUCAGCUUCAGCAUCAGUCCUUCCAAUGAAUAGUCAGGACUGAUUUCCUUUAGGAUGGACUGCUUGGAUUUCCUUGCAGUCCAAGUGACUCUCAAGCGUCUUCUCCAACAUCACAGCUCAAAAGUAUCAAUUCUUCGGUGCUCAGCCUUCUUUAUGGUCCAGCUCUCACGUCCAUCCAUGACCACUGGAAAAACCAUAGCUUUGACUAGAUGGACCUUUGUCGGCAAAGUAAUGUCUCUGGUUUUUAAUAUCUUCUCUAGGUUUGUUAUAGCUUUUCUUCCAAGGAGCAAGCAUCCUUUAAUUUUGUCACUGCCAUCACCAUCUGCAGUGAUUUUACAGCCCAAGAAAAUAAAGCCUGUCACUGUUUCCAUUGUUUCCCCAUCUAUUUGCCAUGAAG